rnacentral:rRNA from 1 species
GACGAACGCUGGCGGCGUGCCUAAUACAUGCAAGUCGAGCGGACGAAUCGAAAGCUUGCUUUUGAUUCGUUAGCGGCGGACGGGUGAGUAACACGUGGGCAACCUGCCCUGUAGACGGGGAUAACACCGAGAAAUCGGUGCUAAUACCGGAUAACGCGAAAUGUCGCAUGACGUUUCGUUGAAAGACGGCGCAAGCUGUCGCUACAGGAUGGGCCCGCGGCGCAUUAGCUAGUUGGUGAGGUAACGGCUCACCAAGGCGACGAUGCGUAGCCGACCUGAGAGGGUGAUCGGCCACACUGGGACUGAGACACGGCCCAGACUCCUACGGGAGGCAGCAGUAGGGAAUCUUCCGCAAUGGACGAAAGUCUGACGGAGCAACGCCGCGUGAGCGAAGAAGGCCUUCGGGUCGUAAAGCUCUGUUGUUAGGGAAGAACAAGUAACGCAGUAACUGGCGUUACCGUGACGGUACCUAACGAGAAAGCCACGGCUAACUACGUG